AGUAUCGUCCUGAUCUGUCAGGCGAGGAUUCAGGCGAGUAAGGUAGAAUGCCCUAGGCAGCUCGGUGAGCGUAGAGAUCGGGAGGAAUAGCAGUGGNGAAGGCGGCCUUCUGGACUGUCAUAGACACUGAGGUGNGAAAGCGUGGGUAGCAAACAGGAUUAGAUACCCUGGUAGUCCACGCCGUAAACGAUGUCACCAGCCGUUGGGUGCCUAGCGCACUUUGUGGCGAAGUUAACGCGAUAAGUCGACCGCCUGGGGAGUGCGGCCGCAAGGUUAAAACUCAAAUGAAUUGACGGGGGCCCGCACAAGCGGUGGAGCAUGUGGUUUAAUUGGAUGCAACGCGAAGAACCUUACCUACCCUUGACAUCGACAGAAGCCGAGAGAGAUCUUGGUGUGCCUUCGGGAACUGUCAGACAGGUGCUGCAUGGCUGUCGUCAGCUCGUGUUGUGAAAUGUUGGGUUAAGUCCCGUAACGAGCGCAACCCUUGUCCUUAUUUGCCAGCGCGUAAUGGCGGGAACUCUAAGGAGACUGCCGGUGACAAACCGGAGGAAGGUGGGGACGACGUCAAGUCAUCAUGGCCCUUACGGGUAGGGCUACACACGUGCUACAAUGGCCGGUACAAAGGGCGGCGAGCUCGCGAGAGUCAGCGAAUCCCUUAAAGCCGGUCUCAGUCCGGAUCGGAGUCUGCAACUCGACUCCGUGAAGUCGGAAUCGCUAGUAAUCGUGA
rnacentral:rRNA from 1 species